rnacentral:ribozyme from 1 species
GCUCGUCUGGGCGAGGGUAAACAGUAAUUAGGCCCAGAGCGUUCCGGCUGCUGCCGGGGGUUUAG